rnacentral:rRNA from 1 species
UACGUAGGGGGCUAGCGUUGUCCGGAAUCAUUGGGCGUAAAGAGCGUGUAGGCGGUCCGGUAAGUCCGCUGUGAAAGUCGGGGGCUCAACCCUCAAAUGCCGGUGGAUACUGUCGGGCUUGAGUACGGAAGAGGCGAGUGGAAUUCCUGGUGUAGCGGUGAAAUGCGCAGAUAUCAGGAGGAACACCAAUUGCGAAGGCAGCUCGCUGGGACGUUACUGACGCUGAGACGCGAAAGCGUGGGGAGCAAACAGG